rnacentral:rRNA from 1 species
UACGGAGGGUCCAAGCGUUGUCCGGAAUCACUGGGUGUAAAGGGUGCGUAGGCGGAUUUGUAAGUCAGAGGUGAAAGCCCACGGCUUAACCGUGGAACUGCCUUUGAUACUGCAGGUCUUGAGUCCUGGAGGGGCUGGCGGAAUUCGUGGUGUAGCGGUGAAAUGCGUAGAUAUCACGAGGAACACCGGAGGUGUAGACGGCCAGCUGGACAGGUACUGACGCUGAGGCACGAAAGCGUGGGGAGCGAACAGG